CUUAAAGGGCCAAUGCAAGAAGAAAAGUGGCAAUGACAACACUUUGUUCAAACAGGGCUGAGCAUUUUGGGCUGUGGGAAAACAGAAGAGAGGCUCCUCACUCAGUCAUGAUGUGUCCAGAAAGGAGUCCCAGAGAAAAUAACAUCUGAUCUGAGAAAAGAGAGAAACAAGGAGCAGAAGUUAGGGGUACUAACUGGAAGAAAGGAAUGCGAAUGAUUACCAAUCCUGCUGCAAGUGCUUAAAGAAGAUGGAAUCAGAGUGUGGGAACCAGGCUGAACUACAUGACUGACAGUAGAUGACCGCCACUGCCACGGGAUCCACAGGGUCCACAAAGUUUUCUUCCUCUUCUCACUGCCACAUUACCCUCGUCUUUGAAUUUCUUUUGCUGUAAUGCCACACAGAGAACCUGAGCCUCCUGAUCUGCAGCCCAGGACUCUUGCCAAUGUAUCUGAGUUGUUGUUUGAUAGUAUGGAAGGAAAACGGAGCCUGAAGUGUGACACAGGAAAGAGGAAAGAAGUUGUUAUAGUUUUAAUUGAAGUAUUUGCAGCAAAUAUUUGACAACAUUAGUAAGAAGAAAUAGGUAAUACCAAUUGAGCUAAAAACAAUUUACCAUCAAAAGUGCUCUCUUUCUUCUUCCUUUCUCUGGUGUAUCUGUGCUAUUUUUGUCUGCCUACAUUUCAUUUCCUCAUCUAUCUUCUGAUAACAACAGAUCUCCACUACCCAGUCCUCAUAGUUUUGAGAAGGAUGCAGCCUAAGCCCCCCAAAAAGUGGAGUUGG
rnacentral:lncRNA from 1 species